UUACUCGGAAUUACUGGGCGUAAAGCGUGCGUAGGCGGUGGUUUAAGUCCGCUGUGAAAGCCCUGGGCUCAACCUGGGAAUUGCAGUGGAUACUGGGUCACUAGAGUGUGGUAGAGGGUAGCGGAAUUCCCGGUGUAGCAGUGAAAUGCGUAGAGAUCGGGAGGAACAUCUGUGGCGAAGGCGGCUACCUGGACCAACACUGACACUGAGGCACGAAAGCGUGGGGAGCAAACAGG
rnacentral:rRNA from 1 species